GCUCAGGUGUGCCAGCCGCCGCGGUAAUACGGAGGAUGCGAGCGUUAUCCGGAUUUAUGGGUUUAAGGGUGCGUAGGUGGUUAAUUAAGUCAGCGGUGAAAGUUUGUGGCUCAACCAUAAAAUUGCCGUUGAAACUGGUUGACUUGAGUAUAUUUGAGGUAGGCGGAAUGCGUGGUGUAGCGGUGAAAUGCAUAGAUAUCACGCAGAACUCCGAUUGCGAAGGCAGCUUACUAAACUAUAACUGACACUGAAGCACGAAAGCGUGGGGAUCAAACAGG
rnacentral:rRNA from 1 species